UAAAGUGAAAUGGGGCCUUGAAAUUUCUCAAGGAUGCCCUAAAACAGACAAGGAACAAGUCUGUUCCAAAUGGUAAGAUGGAGCAGGAUAGUAAUGAUGUAACAGUGUAAUUUUUUAUUUACAGAUAUAAAACAUCAGAUGAAAUACAUCAUAAUUUUCAUAGUUAUUUAAGUGUGAAAGGCACAUAAUUGAACUAGAAGCAAUAAGUGGAAAUCAGGAGAAACAUUAAAGACAUUCCAGUGUCACUGAGCAUGCCGAAACCUGAAAACAUGUGGAACCCUACUCAACAAUACGAAGCAGCAGACUACCGCUACACACCACCAAGAAUAUUAUAUUAAAUGAAAGAAGCCAGACAGAAAAGAAAGUGUGCCGUACGCUUCCGUUCAUAUAAAAUUCUAGAGCUAGCAAGCCGAAGUUAUAAUGAUGGAAAUUAGGGGAUCAAUUUCCUUCGGGGACUGACCUGAAAGAAGCAUAAGGGAGCUUUUUAGGAUCAUGAAAAUGUUUUAUACCUUGGAUGAGCUGGCGGUUACUUGAUUGUCUUGUUUUAAAAACUAUUUGAACUGUACACUUAAUACCUAUGUAUUUUCUUGUAUGUAAAUUGUAACACAAUUUAAAAAGUGGGAAUUACAAUCCUGUUUUUAUUUCAUAUAAAAUCCAUCUCUUUCAACAGCCAGACUUCUUGAAUGGGUUGCUUUUAUUUGCAUUCUCCAUUUUCUUACCUUUGCGCAGCCUUAAACUCAGUCAUUCACUACAAUAAUCCCCCACCCAUAUGCUGUUCCUCUUUUCCAAAAUUACCUUCCCCUGGAUGAUUUGGCUUGGCUAAUCCUACUCAUUCUUUCGAUUUCUACCUAAACAUCAUCAUCUCCUAGCCCUCUAGACCACACUGAGUGCUAUGGAUAUAUAUUUCCAUAGAACCCUUUACUUUCAUAAUACAGCAUUCAGCAUCUCUUCUUAUAAUUACUUGCUUAAAUUAUCUCUCUUUACACUAAGCCAUAUGCUCUGGGCAGUGAUGUUUAUUUUGUUCACCCCUGAAUUCUCAGUACCAAGCAAUUUGCUUGGUACAUGAUACUUGAAAAGCUAUCUGUCGAAUGAAUAAAUAAGUAAAUGAAUGAGCUAUCUCUCAUACUUUUCAUGUACUUUUUAUCUCUCGUACUUUUCAUAUAUCAGCUCUGUCACUCUUCCUUUGAUUUAUUUCUAUUUUCUCUUCCACAAUUCUAGUGAGUCCUUAACAUCUCUUCCCUAGGCUUUUGUAAUACGUUUCUAACAGAUCCCUAGGCCUCUGGUCUCUUGUGUUUCUAAUCUAGUAUUUGCAUUGCCACAAGAAACAUCUACCUGAAAUGUCUGUUAACUUGUCAUUUUUUUCCUCUUUUCAGUAUCUUUGAUUACUUACUAUAUAAAUAAAAAACUUUCAACAUUAUUUUUCUGGAUCAAUCCUUUAUUUGUCAGGUCAUAUCUCAGGAUAUGUUUCUUGUAUCUAUUUCUACUUUCUCUUUACCAUCUGAACUGUUGCAAACCUCAACUUGUUUCUACCUCCAGUACCUUUCCAUUCUAGUGCAUUUUCCACAGAAUCGCCUGUGUUAUC